UGCCCUGACACGGUGCUGAUCCAAAUGUUAUGUACAAGAAGGGCCACACCGCUCUACAUUAUGCGUCCUUUGGGGAGAGUGUCUCAAUAGAGAAGCUGUUUUUUACACAAAGCAAAUACAGACGCAAAGAACAUGUGCAGAUUGGCUGUACAAUGGAAAGAACAGACCUGUGCGACUCUUCUGCCCCAACACGGUGCUGAGAAAUGUCUUAAGGACCUCAAGGGCAACACCUCUCACCAUUAUGCGACCUUUGAGGACAAUGUGUCAAUAGAGAAGCUGUUUUUAUACAACGGAAAUACAGAGCCCAAAAACAAGUGCUGACAGGCUAUACAACGGACAGAACAGACCUGUGCAACAUCUCUGCCCCGACACAGUGCUGAGAAAAGUCUUAAGGACCUCAAGGGCAACACCUCUCACCAUUAUGUGGCCUUUGAGGAGAAUGUGUCAAUAGAGAAGCUGUUUUUAUACAAAGGAGAUACAGAGCCCAAAAACAAGUGAAAUAAGUAGAAAGGGGAAGAGGGAGAAAUGGUAUGUUUCACCUGGAAAGUAUUUGAAAGCAUUUUUGCUCCUGAGCACUAUGUGUGUUGGAGUGGCCGCUCUCCUGCUGCAUGAGGAGCAUGCUCUCUCGCUCUGUACUCCGGAGACGACAGUGCCAAGCAACACUACCUGGGGUAGGAGAAUGACCCCUGACCCGUAAACUGCAGCUUGUCUGCAAGGAGCUACAGGGAACCAUAAGCAUCUCGUGUGCACCAUGCUUUUGGAGCUUCCCUGAAUGUAGUGACUCUUGGAACAGGACUCAACCCUGGUUGGGACACACAGGUCAAAAAUAUCACCAAGCCAGGUGUGAGUCACACAGGCACUUUAGAUUUGCACCAAGUGAGCCAGCUAUGUGUGGAAAGUCCUUUUCAAAUCUGAGUAGCCUCAACUGUUUCCAUGAUGACCCUUCCACUGCCCCAGAAACUAGAAGUACUCCAUUCUAAUCAUUCCUCGAGAUAGAUGUAGGCAACAAUAUUUUGCACUCCAUUAAACUGGGGCAAAUAGCAUAAAACUUACUCAUUAUACAACUGUAGUAAGUUUAUGGCUCAAAUAAAUUUUAUCCAUA